rnacentral:pre_miRNA from 1 species
AUGAGAUGGAAUCAGCGUUUGGACAUGCGAAUUUACGCUGAUUCCAUCUUACGA